rnacentral:rRNA from 1 species
AGAGUUUGAUCCUGGCUCAGAACGAACGCUGGCGGCGUGGAUAAGACAUGCAAGUCGAACGGGACAUUAUUUGUAGCAAUACAGGUGAUGUUCAGUGGCGAAAGGGUGCGUAACACGUGGGCAAUCUACCGAGAAGUGGGGGAUAGCUCGCCGAAAGGCGAAUUAAUACCGCAUGUGACCCUGGGCAACCUUGCCUGGGCGUCAAAGCCGGGGCAACCUGGCGCUUCCUGAUGAGCCCGCGGCCUAUCAGCUAGUUGGUGAGGUAACGGCUCACCAAGGCUAUGACGGGUAGCUGGUCUGAGAGGACGACCAGCCACACUGGGACUGAGACACGGCCCAGACACCUACGGGUGGCAGCAGUCGAGAAUUUUUGACAAUGGGGGAAACCCUGAUCGAGCGACGCCGCGUGGAGGAUGAAGGUCUUCGGAUUGUAAACUCCUGUCAUUGGGGAACAAGGUGCAUACGUUAACUGCGUGUGCAUUGAUAGUACCCGAAGAGGAAGAGACGGCUAACUCUGUGCCAGCAGCCGCGGUAAUAC